GCGGGAGUGGAGAGUUGUCGUAGCUGGUGCUGUUUCCUUUCGGUCACAUCUAACUGUGCGAGUCCGCUGCCGCCACCUUAUUUCGGUGGUUAGCCUCUUACUCCAUCGCCCGGGGAACAGCGAAAGAGAGUUGGGGUUGCAAGUAGUGAGACCAUUUUCAUUUUCUACUUCCUGUUCUCUUCUCUCAUGUCAUCCAUUUACGAGCCGAACUGUUGUGGCUCUAUCUUCUUGUUCUUUUUACCGCGGGUAUCGCUCCAAAAUUAGUUCACUCAGACUUGGGUUUCCAAAGCACAAAUCCUCACUUAGUUGUAGUCUACCUUGAAUAUAAGUUCGAUAAAACGGAUUUUUGCUGUUAAACAGGAGCUAAAUCUGGAACGAACUGAGAUUUUACUGUUCACUGCUUUGAGGUGCAGGGUUGCUUUUCAGAGGAGCCGGGCAAGGGUAAGAGCUCAGAGAGUUACUGAGAGAAUUGCAAACUGCAGACAACUACAAGUUUCUUCCCAUACAAGAUGCCAUGAAGUGUAUCAAUCAAACAGUGAACAAAACGGGCAUUAUAGCAGAGUUUAGCUUGCCAAAGCGAAGUAGGGGCACUGGUGAACUUUCCAUUUGAAGGAUCCUGCUGUUUAAACAUUGCAUAUGAUGUUACAAUUUUGGAUCUCCAAUGGAGCAAGGAUCAUUCAAAAUUCACUUUUUUCUUUUAAAUUCAUGUUGAAGUUUACAAAGUGUUUGGAUACUGAAGUUUGGUUGGUUUAGACUUAGACUGGUGAUGAUGAAUCAAAGGCCGGACUUACAGCUGCCAUUUAGUUCGCUGGUAGUAGAUUGACGAUUUUUUUUUCUUUAAGAUUUCUAUUGUACCUCAAGAAUAAUUGAUGAAUCAUGUCAGAAACCUGGGCUGCUCGUUAAUAUUUUUGCUGAAAGCUCGCAACAGCUUCCUAAUGUUGUAGGAAGAGGAGACAUAGUUCAGCUUUUUAAUGUCAUGAUUCUUAUGGCUUUCCAAUGUUAAGAGAAACCAAGGAAGGAGAUUGCUGCAGUCUGGCAUGCAAGUCAUAUUGAAUUGGAUUGUUGGCAAUCUUUAAGGCGGUGAUUCUGUCACACCACAUUUUAAUAGGAGUUUGUGGUUCUAUGCCGAGCUCUUUUGGUAAUUGUACAAUCCAUAUGCCUUCACAAAUUCUAAGAGCUAAGGCCCUAUAUUCAUAUUUUGCUGAGCUCCUAUACGCAAUUGGUUGUCUUUUGCUUCUCCAAGUCACAAGAUUACCCAACACAAAGGUGCAAUACCCUGUAGUAGAGCGCCUAUCGUGAAUGGAUCCUGCCCAAUCAGCAUGAGUAAAAUAAUAAUCGCUUCCCUGGGGUUGUCUUGAGGUAUUUGAGAAUAUGAUAGGCAGCUUCCAUAUGCUCCUUCUAUGGAUUAGUUGUAAACUGACUUACAACCUCAACAGCAAAGGAUAUAUCUGGCCAAGUUGCAGUUAAGCUCCAUUGGAGUAUCUACAGGUCUAGAACCUAACAUACCAGCUUCUUUGAGGGGAUGCAGACUAUAUUUUCUCUAUGUGACAUUAAUGCCCUUAGAUGACUGAGCUACUUCCAAUCCAAGGAAUUAUCUCAGGUGGUCAAGAUCUUUAAUGUUGAAUUCUGCAGUGAGUUUCUUCUUCAUUUUGUCAAUUUCUUCAAUGUCAUUACCUGUUAGCACAAUAACAUCUACAUAGAAGAUUAGUACAGCUAGUUUUGGGCCAGACCUCUUUACAAAUAAAGUAUGGCCUGCUUGGCAUUGAUUAUAACCAAAUCCCUUAAAAGCACAUGUGAAAUUUUCAAACCAAGCUCUAGGUGAUUGCUUUAUUCCAGACAAGGAUUUAGGGAGCUUACAAACUUUGUUUGCAUUCUCGGGUCCUCUCAAUCCUAAGGGUAUCUCCAUGUACACUUCCUCUUCCAAGUUCCCAUUUAAGAAGACAUUCUUAACAUUUAGUUUUUGUAACGGCCAGUCUAGAUUUGCAGUGAGAGACAACAAAACAUUAAUGGUAUUAAAUUUAGCCACAGAUGCAAAUGUCUCUUGAUAAUCAACGCCAUAGGUUGGGUAAAAUCUUUACAACUAGUGGUGCUUUAUAUUUAUUUUGACUCCCAUCAGAGUUGUACUUCUUAGUAAAAUCCCAUUUACUUCCUACAACUGACUUCCCACAUGACAAAUCAACAAUUUCCCAAGUCUUAUUUUUGUCCAAGGCCCUCAAUUCUUCUCCAAUAGCCAAUUUCCAUUUCAGGUCAGAUCUGGCUCCUUCAAAUGUUCUAGGUUUUUCUUCAUUAUCAAGAGCAGUGACAAAGGUUUUAAGCUUUUUGUAAGAGACAUACCUUCCAAUGGGGUGUUGAGUGCAACUCCUCUUGCCUUUUGUAAGAGCAAUAGGCCACUGAAGAUCUUCAGGAUUAACCUUAGGUUGUGAAUCAUGACUCUGCCUUAGAACCUUUGCUAUUUGUGGGCUUUUUCAGGCUGAUUUUCCCGUUUCAUGCAUAUGAAAGUCAAACAUAGAAUCUUGAGAGUUAGUAGAAGGUUGUUCUUGACUGGCAUGGUGAUCAAAUUAAGUUUCAGCUUCAGAAAUAAGUAUUUCAAGGUCAGAAUUAUGCUGGAUAGGACUGGUAUAAUCUUGGACAGGAUCAAGUGAUGUGUAAGGUUUGAUAUUAGUGAUGCUAGUGGAUUGAUUGCUUAAGUGAUCAUCUAUAGUUCCUCAAAUUAAUCAUUUACUAUCAUUCUCCUCCUGAAUGGGUAAUUAGGGAUAGAAUGGUAGUGAUUCAACAAAUUUAAUGCUCAUAGUGACAUAAAACUUCCUUUUUACGGGAGAAUAGAAGUUGUACCCUUUUUUUGUUGAGGAGUAACCCAAGAACGGGCAUUUAAUAGAAUGAUAAUAAUGUUUCCCACCCUCAUCAUUAAACACAAAAGCUACACAUCCAAAGACUCUUUCACAAGAGAAUUAAUGGGAUUUGAGUAGGGAUAAGACUCUAAAAAACUUUGGAGAGGAGUUUUGAACUUGAGGACUUUGGAUGGGAUAUGGUUGAUAAGAUACACAGCCAUGAGGACUGCAUCUUCCCAAAACUUAUUCAGUACAUUGCUGCCUAAUAAAAGGGCUCUAGCUACCUUUAAGAUGUCUAUUUUUCCUCUCGGCUGCUCUAUUUUGUUAUGGUGUAUGCACACAAGAAGUUUAAUGUGUAGCCCUUUUUCAGCAAGAAAGGUUUUAAAAUGUGUCCAAAUGCUUAGGUCCAUUGUCACUACGAAGAAUUUCAAUAUUAGUCUGAAAUUUAUCUUUAACAAAAUUAUAAAAGUUUUUAAAGAGAGUAACAACUUCAUACUCGUCUUUAUUUAAAACAAGUCACAUUAGACGGGUGUGAUCAUCAAUAAAAGUAACACACUACUUGGCUUUCGAGUGAGUUUCAAUUUUAGAAGGACCUCACACAUCACUAUGCACAAGAUUGAAGGGUUUAGUAGGGAGUAUAAGUAGAAGCAGGAUAGGGGUUGUGAGUUUGUUUAGCAAACUGACAAAUAUCACGAGGAAAAUUGACUUUAGUCAUGGAAUUUGGAAACAAAACUUUCAUAUAAUCAAAACUGGGGUGACCUAAUCAAAAAUACUGUAACAAAAUGUCUUCUUGAGACAUAACAGCGGAAGCAAAAACAGAAUUGAAACUAGAACUAGAAUGAGCUAAGCAGCCUUUAUUUUUUAGAUUUCCUUCAAAGUAGUAGAGUCAUUGUGUUCCUUAGCUUUGCCAAUCAUCUUCCCUGAGGCUAGAUCCUGAAAACACAGUGAAAUUUGUCAAAGAUAGCAAUGCAAUUUAACUAACAAGCCAUGCAUUUAAUGGACAGCAGACUACAUCACUGCAUUGAAUGUGAGGUACAUAUAACGCAUUACUUAACAUGAGACUCUGAAAGUGAUAAGAUCCUGGAUAAAAUUCAGAUUUAUUCAAGAAGUAAGCGGCAAAAGAUAAAUUAAGAUAGGUUUCAUUUUUUAUUUGAUUUUUAGAUAUUUAUUCAGAUUUUAUUUAGUCAUUAAGAUUCUUUAAAUUUUAUUUAGAUUCAGUAUUUUAUCUACUUAGAUUUUAGGAGAGUUUAUUUAGUGAUAUUGUUAUCUAGAUUUUAUUUAUUAUUUUAAAUUGUAUUUAGCAUUAUAAAUAUGACUAGCAACUUAGAAGCUAGCAUAUCAGAAAAUUAAUAAAAUAGUCUUUCAAACCCUUUGGAGAUUCUCCUAAGCAUGGCUAUUGAGAGAAGUAUAGAACGGGAUUCUUGUUCUAUAUGAUCUUAUAGAUUUAUUCCUAUCGUUUCCUUUUAUUAUUUGAGCACCCAACAGAAAGCAUAAUUUUUUUGGACCCCAUAGCCUGUGCAUAAGUAUCACAAGCCAUUUGCACACCUGUGUGCUUAGAAUAAGGAUUGAACUCAGAAAAUAAGUCCUGGAAUUUCCAGUAAUGUAAUCUGUAGCACCAAAAUCAACUACCCAAAUGUUCUUACAUUCAGUGGCAGUACUUAAAGCAGUAUGUAGAGUUGUACCUGCAUGAGCCAAUGUAAUUAAGGGGGAAGAUUUCUCACUUGGUUUUUCUUGAGCAUGUCUUUCUAGAAUUCGCUUGAGCACAAGAAGUUCUUCAUUAUUUAGACAAUUUCCUUCACUAGCAGUUUGACUGGCCAUGAAACCUUUAUUGUCACUUUUAUUCUGUUGCUUCAGGUGGGCUAGCUUACCAUGUAUUUUCCAACAAUUCUCUCAUGUGUGACCAUUCUUGCUGCAAUGAUCACAAUGGAGAGACUUCUUCCCUUUUGAAUCUCCCCCUUGGUUGCCUCAAGCCACCAUAGCAGAGGAUUUUGCAGCUGGUAAAGGAGUUGAAGAGGGAAGCUGAAUAAGAGCCUUACAGCUUUCCUCGUACCUUAUCAUAUUAUAGUAACACGUUUCUGGACCAUUGCAAGUAAUUGUUCCCAUUUAGACAAUGGUUGAUGAUAAGUUGAGAGAGAGUCCGUGUGCAAAUUGCCGAAUCCCCAAGAGAACUCGCACCACCCCCUUCAGCAUCCCCAUUUAAGCCCCCUCCUUGUGCUGGAGAGUUUCUAGACCAUUGGUGGCGAAGGCUCUAGGACCCGUUAGCACUGCCUUAUAUGACAUGAGUGGUGUCGCUUUGAUACCAUGAGAAUAUGCAGUGCGAAAAGGCUUACUUCCAUUCAACAGAGAGGAGCAUACAUAUAGAAGAGCAAAGAUUUGAUAAUAUCGUAUCACAUCUGCUCUAAUAACUAGAAAAGAUAACAGCAGAUAAUCUGAUUCUA